UACGUAGGGGGCGAGCGUUGUCCGGAUUUAUUGGGCGUAAAGAGCGUGUAGGCGGCCAGGUAGGUCUGCUGUGAAAACUCGAGGCUCAACCUCGAGACGUCGGCGGAAACCAUCUGGCUAGAGUCCGGAAGAGGAGAGUGGAAUUCCUGGUGUAGCGGUGAAAUGCGCAGAUAUCAGGAAGAACACCCGUGGCGAAGGCGGCUCUCUGGGACGGUACUGACGCUGAGACACGAAAGCGUGGGUAGCAGACAGG
rnacentral:rRNA from 1 species